UCUGGCAGUGAACGAGGGCAAAACGAAAUAUCUCCUGUCAUCAAACAAACAGUCGUCGCACUCGCGACUUGGCUCUCACAUCACUGUUGACAGUCAUAACUUUGAAGUCGUAGAUAAUUUCGUCUAUCUUGGAACCAGCGUAAACACCACCAACAAUGUCAGCCUAGAAAUCCAACGCAGGAUAACUCUUGCCAACAGGUGCUACUUCGGACUGAGUAGGCAAUUGAGAAGCAAAGUCCUCUCUCGACAAACAAAAACCAAACUCUAUAAGUCACUCAUAAUUCCCGUCCUGCUAUAUGGUGCAGAGUCUUGGACGAUGUCAACAACGGAUGAGUCGACGUUGCGAGUUUUCGAGAGAAAAGUUCUGCGAACGAUUUAUGGUCCUUUGCGCGUUGGCCACGGCGAAUAUCGCAUUCGAUGGAACGAUGAGCUGUACGAGAUAUACGACGACAUUGACAUAGUUCAGCGAAUUAAAAGACAGCGGCUUCGCUGGCUAGGUCAUGUUGUCCGGAUGGAUGAAAACACUCCAGCUCUGAAAGUAUUCGACGCAGUACCCGCCGGGGGAAGCAGAGGAAGACCUCCACUCCGUUGGAAGGACCAAGUGGAGAAGGACCUGGCUUCGCUUGGAAUAUCCAAUUGGCGCCACGCAGCGAAAAGAAGAAACGACUGGCGCGCUGUUGUUAACUCGGCUAUAAUCGCGUAAGCGGUGUCUACGCCAAUUAAGAAGAAGAAGAAGAC